rnacentral:rRNA from 1 species
GACGAACGCUGGCGGCGUGCCUAAUACAUGCAAGUAGAACGCUGAAGGAGGAGCUUGCUUCUCCGGAUAAGUUGCGAACGGGUGAGUAACGCGUAGGUAACCUGCCUGGUAGCGGGGGAUAACUAUUGGAAACGAUAGCUAAUACCGCAUAACAGUAGAUGUUGCAUGACAUUUGCUUAAAAGGUGCAAUUGCAUCACUACCAGAUGGACCUGCGUUGUAUUAGCUAGUUGGUGAGGUAACGGCUCACCAAGGCGACGAUACAUAGCCGACCUGAGAGGGUGAUCGGCCACAAUGGGACUGAGACACGGCCCAGACUCCUACGGGAGGCAGCAGUAGGGAAUCUUCGGCAAUGAACGGAAGUCUGACCGAGCAACGCCGCGUGAGUGAAGAAGGUUUUCGGAUCGUAAAGCUCUGUUGUAAGAGAAGAACGAGUGUGAGAGUGGAAAGUUCACACUGUGACGGUAUCUUACCAGAAAGGGACGGCUAACUACGUG